rnacentral:rRNA from 3 species
UUUGACCUCGGAUCAGGUAGGGAUACCCGCUGAACUUAAG